rnacentral:rRNA from 1 species
CUCUGUGACUCCUACGGGAGGCAGCAGUGGGGAAUAUUGCACAAUGGGGGAAACCCUGAUGCAGCCAUGCCGCGUGUGUGAAGAAGGCCUUCGGGUUGUAAAGCACUUUCAGUAGGGAGGAAGGUAGUGUAGUUAACACCUGCAUUAUUUGACGUUACCUACAGAAGAAGCACCGGCUAACUCCGUGCCAGCAGCCGCGGUAAUACGGAGGGUGCGAGCGUUAAUCGGAAUUACUGGGCGUAAAGCGCAUGCAGGCGGCCUGUUAAGUCAGAUGUGAAAGCCCGGGGCUUAACCUCGGAAUUGUAUUUGAAACUGGCAGGCUAGAGUCUUGUAGAGGGGGUAGGAAUUUCAGGUGUAGCGGUGAAAUGCGUAGAGAUCUGAAGGAAUACCAGUGGCGAAGGCGGCCCCCUGGACAAAGACUGACGCUCAGAUGCGAAAGCGUGGGGAGCAAACAGGAUUAGAUACCCUGGUAG